rnacentral:piRNA from 1 species
UCCUUUCUCCCUCAUCUUCAAUACGGUGG